AACGAACGCUGGCGGCAUGCCUAACACAUGCAAGUCGAACGAAUGGUUUCGGCCAUUAGUGGCGCACGGGUGAGUAACGCGUGGGAAUCUGCCCAGCAGUGGGGGAUAACCUCUGGAAACGGAGGCUAAUACCGCAUACGCCCCUCGGGGGAAAGGCUUGCUGCUGCUGGAGGAGCCCGCGUCGGAUUAGGUAGUUGGUGGGGUAACGGCCUACCAAGCCUGUGAUCCGUAGCUGGUCUGAGAGGAUGAUCAGCCACACUGGGACUGAGACACGGCCCAGACUCCUACGGGAGGCAGCAGUGGGGAAUAUUGGACAAUGGGCGCAAGCCUGAUCCAGCAAUGCCGCGUGAGUGAUGAAGGCCUUCGGGUUGUAAAGGCUCUUUCGUCCCACGACGAUGAUGACGGUAGUGGGAGAAGAAGACCCGGCUAACUUCGUGCCAGCAGCCGCGGUAACUGUCUGUACU
rnacentral:rRNA from 1 species